GGUAAGUCCUCGGUUUUAAUCACUUUCCUCAUAAAAGCUUGAAAUUUGUUGUACUGUACUACCAUCAGGAUUGACAGUUCCUGAGAUUUAUUAGCUGCUUGCUUUUGAACAAAAUUUUGCUUUAAAAAAUUAAAGGAGUUUUUCUUACAAAAUCAUGCUAUUUAGUACAACAUACGAGCUGGGUCUAUGAUACUAUUAAGUAUACUAUUGCCCCAGCCUUACUGAAAAUCCCUAGUCGAUGAAGUUGGGUUACUGAAAUUAUGUAUAUGUACCAGAAUCUAGGGCAAUAACAGCAUAUUUGGCCGAGAAAUACAAGGAAACGGGGUGUGAUCUCUUGAGGCACAAUGACCUCAAAGAAGCUGCAUUGGUGAAGGUGUGGUUGGAGGUUGAAUCCCAACAAUAUCAUCCGGCAAUAUACCAGAUUGUGUACCAGUUCUUCGUGUUGCCUCUACAAGGCAAGACGGCCGAUCAGGCCAUUAUUGAUGUAAAUCUGGAGAAGUUGGGUAAGGUUCUGGAUGUGUAUGAGGCCAGGCUGGGCACCACAAAGUGCCUAGCAGGAGAUUUCUACAGCUUGGCUGAUCUUCACCACCUUUCUUACACUUACUAUUUCAUGAAGACGCCAUGGGCUUCCCUCAUAAACAGCCGUCCCAAUGUGAAGGCAUGGUGGGAGGACAUUUCCUCAAGGCCAGCUUUCAAGAAAGUGGCUGAAGGCAUGACUUUUGGUGAGAAGUGAUCGGUUUCUGAGCAGUGUGGCUCUAUGUUUUGGGGUAAUAUUAAUUGUAGUGGUUGCUGCCUCUUAAUUACGUGUAUUUAAGUGUGAGACCACGUAAUAAUUACUGAUUAUGUGUUAUGAUUUGCCCUAAAUUAAUCAGAAAUGUGGAAUUAUCUGGGGUUUCUCAUUGUGGUAAUUAAUCUGCUUGCAACCAGUUUUUGAAAGGGUUUGAUGCAUUUUUACUCCAUACUUUGCUUUAGCUAGGGUUAUGUUGGUGUCUCUAAGGCAUAAUGCUUCCAUUUUUGAGUCAUUGCAUACUCAGAUCAAAGUUUUCAAGACUUGUAGAAAAUGGGUUUUGGUAUUUUCAUGAAAGAGAAUGAAAGGGCAAAUUUCUUCACAAGGCAUGUAGUAAGGGUUUUCCCUUUCAAUCAGUCUUUUUCCUGAGAAACAAACAGAAUGUAUAUCAUGCCGUGUCAUCCACUGUGACAGUUUUCCUCUGAAGAGUUUUACUGCAGUACUUCCUAUUUAUUCCCAUUUUUACUUCCCAAACGAGGUAAACACGUACUGUACUGCAGCUCUGGUUAUUUUCAUCAUCCUUGCUUGUCCAAAGCAGCUUCACUCUUUGAACCUAUUUUUAUUGUUAUAUAUAUAUAUAUAUUAGGUCAAAUUAAUCUUCCAAUUUUCUAACUCUAAGCCCUUGCAAAGAGUUUUUGUAGUAUCAUAUGUAUCUACUAUCAGUCAAGCAGAAACUGGAUAAUGUUCUAUAUACGCUUCAAUAAUUAUGGAUCCAGCAAAGGAGAUCUUUUGUUAUGCUACGGGUCUCUACUAAAAUCUGAGGCUGGAACCCACUUCAAUUAUUCACUCAUUUUGUUCUCAUAGAACCUUCAGCCAUGUGACCCUCACCCUCCAACUAACUUUCAACCACAUCUACCACCUUUCUUUCCUUUUUAUUUUUAUUUUUUAGUUUUGACCUAAUUCCAUCUAACUCUCAAAAUGUAUUCUAAAUCAUGCAUCACAGUCUCAAAAUAUAUGUAGGCCCUUCUCUCUAGAUUCUUGAUUCUAUAGUCUUGUACAACCCAAAUUUCUUAGACUCUAGUCUGAAUAAGCUUGAUAGACAUGAUUGUGCUUAUUAUUUAAUAAUUUAAGUUUUUCUUAUAGUAAUUAAUAGUUUAAUAUGAUAUAAUAAAAUUUCUUAUCUUAAUUAAUUUGUAAAAUUAUCUAGAUGAGAUAAAUAGAUAGUCCUAAUUUUUAACUCCAAAAAUUGAUUUUUUUUCUCAAUUAUAAAUUUUCUUAAUCCAAUGCGAGAUUCAAAUAUCAAAAUAAUAGCUAGUUUCAUAAGACACUUGAUGUAUGUGGAAAACCAUCAACAAUCAUGGGUUUGCAAAACAAAGUAAUUACUAAAUCUAAAAGAAUAAGUACACAAUUUUUAUCAAAAUUUGAUACUAUCUUCUCCCAAGGGUCUUAUGUUGGCACAUAUUUACACUUGUUUUCAUGUUUGAGAUGCAACACCUUAUACCCUUUAGGAAACUCCUCAACUACUUGAUAACAUAUAAUCAACCAUUAUGAUUUGAUCUCAAAUAAGAGUUAAGCGAUUGAAAAUGUAUGUGUAGUGAGUUUGAAAUGAGAAUGAUAGAGAAAUUGAACUUUUUCAUUAGACUUUAAAUGAAGCCAUUAAGGAAGAGAUCCACUCCCAAGAUUAAUUCAAGAUGGGGAUAUAAAAAUGGUAUCUUACCAUAAUGACGUCAUCCAUCAAACUUUAUAUGAAGAAGAUAAAUCCAUUGGUUGAACUCUUUAUAGAGGAAUAAUUGACUCUUUAUCAUUAAACAAUAUAUGUUUGUUUUCAACUUGCAAAGAAUCUUAUUCUAGUGCUAUUAAAAAAAUUCUUAAAUAUUUAAAAAGAAUAAUUAAACUAUGUUUGUGAUAUCAUGCAUACUAACUUUGAUCUAAUUAACUAAUUAAAAGUGGAUUUUCCGUUUGUAAAAGUAAUGGAAAUGUAUUAGUGGUACUUAUAAUGUUUGUUUUCAAUCUUACAAAGAAUCUUAUUUUAGUGCUAUUAAAAAUAUUCUUAAAUAUUUAAAAAGAAUAAUUAAACCACGUUUGUGGUAUCAUGCAUACUAACUUUGAUCUAAUUAACUAAUUAAAAAUGGGUUGUUCCAUUUGUAAAAGUAAUGGAAACGUAUUAGUGGUACUUCUAACUUUCUAGGCCACUCACUAGGUUUUGACAUAGUGAUCGAACCUUUGAUCAAUUGAGUUGUCGUGUGCGAUAUAUUUCAUAAUGACUAAUUGAUGCAUGGUGGUUUAGACUUAGUCUUAAUUGGUUGAGGACUUGUUGAUCAGAUGUUAAUCGAUUAAGGUUCUUGCACCUUAAUGAUUACCUCCAAGUGUACUUUUAUUUAAUAGCAUGUUUCUUAGUCCAUCGCCUAAUCCACUAAUUCAGCUAAAAAUGUGCCUAAGGGCUAGUUUCACUCUAGAACUCUUAUUUAAAACUUUCCAACCUUGAGCAAUCAUUGUAGCAAUUUAUUGAAUGGUUCUCUAGAAUACUCUUAUUCCCAAACUCGCAAGUCUCAUUUAGUCUACCUUAAUCUUAGUUUAUUUAUAUAUUUGAUCCUGAAUUUUGCAAACUAGAAAGCUUACUUUAAGAAAUUCACUCUUGUAUUCAUGAAAGAGUAUACUGAAAUGUAAGGGAUCACUUGAGGGCAUUGCAAAGGCAUAUUGGAAGCUUAAAUAUAAGUGUAAAAAAAUUAAAAGCAAAAUCUUAGCACUAGUGAAUGGACCUCAAGCUUAGAUUGAUGAAAGAGAGAGUGGAUAUAGGAGUUAUAGAACCAUUAUAAGUACUUUAUUGCAUCACUCUAUCCCUAUCUCUAUUAAUUUACUUGCACUAUAUUAAUUUUUAUAAUUUGCUUUUUAAUUUUCUAAAUUUUGCAAAAGAACUAACACCGAAUUCUCCUCCCCUCUUGGGUGUCUUCCUCAAGUGAACUCAACUAAUUUGCUUUUCAAUUUUCUAAAAUCAUGAAUCAAUGUAUCAUAAAGCAAAUCCACUAAUUUAAAAAGAAUUAAUACACGGUUUUACCUUAACCAUAUGUUAUCUUCCCCUAAUAAUCUUACACCAAUCAACACAUCCAUUUGUUUUCACGUUUGCAAUGCAAUAUAUGCUCCUUAGUAAACUCCUUAGCAAUUUGAGAUAAUACAAUCAACCAUCAUAAUUUAUCCUUUAAUUAAAGUUAAGUUUUCAGGAAUAUUGGAAACACACAUGAGAAUAACGACAAUUAUUUUCGAGAGCAUGUUGUUUUUUCAAUAUAAGGAGAAAAUCUUACUAAGUCUAUCCAAAUACAUUAAUUGAAAAAAAUAUAGAAUUAGAAAAUCAUGAAAAAAAAAAAACAAAUGGGUCCAAGGUAAACCGAUGUACUCCAUUUUGUCAUGAAUAUUCACUAAAAAUUACUCAACCGUACACAAGCUUGACACACAACAUUUCCCCACUACGUAAUAGCCAUUAAAUCAAAUGAAAAAUAAAAUCUCCAACGUUAAAUUAAGUUGACACCGUGUGCAUCCCUGGUUUCAUAAUGCAGAGUGAGAUGAAACAGAAUCGAUGCACAAGUACUGGGAAAUAAAAUUACCCAUCACGAGUCUAGAAAAUGGGUUCUGAUAUUUUCACAUAAGACAAUGUUGGAGGAUUCUAGGAAAAGAAAGAGAAUGCGGGAAAGGGAAAAUUCUUCACAUGCCUACAGCAUUUACGGCAUAAAGAACGUUUUCUUUCUCAAAGCAUGUGAUCUUUUUCCUGAGAACCAAACAGAUGGCAAAAGCAAGUUCCUGCUUGUCCAAAAAAACCCUGUACUCAUUGGACUAACAAAGCCUGAAUUAAAUAUGGGCCAUUUCGUACCUUCACCAUGGCCCAUUUCUUGUGAUGUUCUUUUGAAUAAAUUUAAGAAAUUACUGUUAGAAAUCAAAUAGAUUGAAUAAAUAUUUUAAUUUAUAAAAAAAUCAUCUUAAAUAAAUAACAAAUAAUAAAUAGGAGAAGGAAAAGAGAAAGUACGUAUAUUUGCAAUGUUACAUUACCUCACCUUAUCGUUUUCCAAAACUUAUAGUAAGCAAGAAUUGGAUUUACUUCUGCCUUCUAUUCUUCAUCAAUACAAUAUGAACGGUAGAGAAGUCCCUUGUUCUAAAGGAGCCGGGCAAGUCGAUUGAAACAAGCGAAUCGAGGUGGCCUGCAACUACCCUAAACAACACUGCAUAAGAAGCCAACAAACUAGUAUAUAACGCCCACCAUACCCUCUUCAUUUUCAGUACCACCUCACCAUCCUCCAUUCAUAUCGCCCAUUUUCACCCACCUCUUUCUCUCUCUCUCUCUCUCUCUCACUCUCUCAGUUUCUCAGUCUUUCAAUGGCGCUCAAGCUCCAUGGAAUUCCCAUGUCCACUUGCACCACUCGUGUCCUCACCUGUCUCCAUGAGAAAGGCUUGGAUUUUGAGCUUGUCCCUGUUAAUCUCUUUGCAGGUGAACAUAAGCAGCCUCCUUUUCUUGCCAAGAAUGUGAGUCUCACUUUCUUCUUUCUUUCUAAUCAUCUCUCUUUCUUCUCUCUGUAGAUUUUGCUUUCUUUGGGGUUGUAUAAAUUAUGAUUUUCCUUGGUUUGGGUACAUUGUUUUUAAUGUACAGUCUCGUCGAUUUGAUUUUGGUCUUGGUUUUGUUAUACAUAUAUGCAGCCCUUUGGACAGAUUCCAGUUCUGGAAGAUGGCGAUUUCACUCUUUUUGGUAAGUUCACGGUUUUAAUCACUUUCCUCAUAAGAGCUUGAAAUUUUUUGUACUGUACUACCAUCAGGACCGACAGUUCCUGAGUUUUAUCACCUGGUUGCUUUUCAACAAAAAUUUUCUUUCAAAAAUUUAAAGAGUUUUUCUAACAAAAUCAUGCUAUGUAGUACAUCAUAUCGAGCUCAUAUAUUAUUAUUUUGAUCAAUUUUAGACCAAUCAUUUUUCUGGAUAAUUUUCGUAGUUUUUUUAUUUCGCUUUCAUGUUAGUCAUGUUAGUCCAGGUUUACUGUAAAUCCCCGGUUGAUUUAGUUGGGUUAUUGAAAAAUUAUGUUUAUGUACCAGAAUCUAGAGCAAUAACAGCAUAUUUGGCCGAGAAAUACAAGGAAACGGGGUGUGAUCUCUUGAGGCACAAUGACCUCAAAGAAGCUGCAUUGGUGAAGGUAUGGUUGGAGGUUGAAUCCCAACACUACUAUCCUGCAAUAUACCAGAUUGUGUACCAGUUCUUCGCGUUGCCUCUACAAGGCAAGACGGCCGAUCAGGCCAUUAUUGAUGUAAAUCUGGAGAAGUUGGGUAAGGUUCUGGAUGUGUAUGAGGCCAGGCUGGGCACCACAAAGUGCCUAGCAGGAGAUUUCUACAGCUUGGCUGAUCUUCACCACCUUUCUUACACUUACUACUUCAUGAAGACGCCAUGGGCUUCCCUCAUAAACAGCCGUCCCAAUGUGAAGGCAUGGUGGGACGACAUUUCCUCAAGGCCAGCUUUCAAGAAAGUGGCUGAGGGCAUGACUUUUGGUGAGAAGUGAUCGGUUUCUGAGCAGUGUGGCUCUAUGUUUUGGGGUAAUAUUAAUUGUAGUGGUUGCUGCCUCUUAAUUACGUUUAUUUAAGCGUGAGACCACGUAAUAAUUACUGAUUAUGUGUUAUGAUUUGCCCUGAAUUAAUCAGAAAUGUGGAAUUAUCUGGGGUUUCUCAUCGUGGUAAUUAAUAUGCUUUCAACCAAUUUUUGAAGGGUUGGAUGCAUUUUUAGUCCAAGUACGAUAAUAUUAGUUAUCAUGUUAUAAGCACAAAUUUCAUUAAGUGCAACGUAAGCACAACAAUAGAAAAAUAUACAAAAUAAAAAUGAACUAAUUGUGGGAUACAAUGUCAAUGUUAAUAUUUUUUACAAAAUAAUAUUUUCUAUUUGAUUAUUUCAUUUUGAUAAGAUAUCAAAAACAAACAAUGAAAGUGUUUCCUUGAUUUUGAGAGUCAAUUAAAGACUUAAAGUGAUUUAUUUAUAAAUGACUUUGUCGAAAGAUAAAUAACACGUGUUAUUCUUUUGUGAUUUCUCAAACUUGUAGGAAAAUUUUGUGAAGCUUUAAGUCAAUUGAGGACCUAGAAUGACUUAUUUGUAAAUCACUUUGAUUAAAACAAUCUGAAAGCAGACGACGAAAGUGUUUUCUUGAUUUUGAAAAUCAAUCAAUGACCUAAAAUUGUUUAUUCUAAAAUGAUUUUGUAAAAAGGCAAAAAGCACGUGUGUAAUUCUUUUGCUAUUAAUUGAACUUACGGGAAGAUUUUAUGAAAUAUUUUCUUUUUUAUGAAUCUUCUUUCCACUCGUUUUGUCAAUUGAUUUGAAGUCGAUUAUUUGAUUUGGUAAUUUGUCUCAUUCAUUAAGAAAAUUUGCGAGCAAGAUAAUAUUUAUUUUAAAUUUCCUUUUACUUCAAUGGAAGAUUUGUUUCUUUUAGAAAUUUAUCAACAAUAGAAUAUGCAUGCAAUUGAAAAUUUUGAUUUUAUUUACAAGACUAAAUUUUGUAAUCUUUCAAAUUUCAUCCAGUAUCACUUUUUAAAUAUAUGUCAUAUGUCAAAUGUGUGUUGUUAGCCUCAAAUUUUGUUGAAUUGGGGAGCCAUAAUUUUGAAAUCAAUUUAGUUAUAAUUUAAUUCGCUAAAAAGUUUUGAUGUCUACAUAUGAAUAUAUCAGUCUUUAGAUUUUAUGGAUAUAUUGGAAUAUAUCAGGAAAUAUUAGUGAAUAUUUUGAAAAAAAUAUUGAGAAGAUGAAAAUUGAUCAAAACUCAUAAACAUAUAUGAGAAAAACUCUAAGAAAUGAUAAAAGUAAUAACAUAUAUUUUGAAAUUGUUUUGUUAAAGAAAUUGAUAUAUUUAUAAUAUAAUUUAUCAUAUCUAACAAUAAUAUCAUGUGCGCCAACAAGAAAUAUGAAAUUUGUAAAUGUAUAUUUAUUAUUAAGUUAUAUUAAAUAUUAGUCAACAACAAUAUUAUGAUAUUUAAUAAUAAUAUAUCCAACUAAAAAAUGUAUUUAAUAUUAAAACUAUAAUCUAUUUAAUGCAUUCAAUGAUAUAAAACAAAUAAUUAUAUAUAUUUAUAUUUUAAAAAUAUAUAUAAAAUUAUAUAAUAAUAAUCAUCAUCAUAAUCAUCAUCUCCAUCUCCAUCUUCUUCAUCAUCAUUAAAUCAGAGACAAGGAUUCAUUGUCCUAUACCUAAAAUUGGACAAUUAUGCUUUAGGGUUUUUAAAAAAAUGUUAUUGGUCCAAAGGAUGCCAAAGAUGUAUAAUUAAUGUAAAGCAUAUGAUAUGUUACUCCUUGAAAACAUAGGUAUAUACAAACAUAUUUCAUUUUUGGACCUAAUUAUACAUCUUUCGUAUCUUUUUUAUUUGUCGUUAGUAGCCAUAAUGGAUGACUAUCCCUUUAAAAUUUUGACCACCCUUGUCCGGAUGGUUUUUGCCAUGCCCUUAUUCAUUCAUUUAGAUAUUGUUUCACUCUUAUAAAAAAUAUUCUAGUUUAGCACUUUCUUGGGAUAUGCAAUUGCAUUCAAUUUCAAGGAACAUCAUGAUAUUUACCAUCUUUUAUGAUUUGGAGGGUUGUGUUUGUUUAUGAUAUCCUCCGAAUCUGGCGAAAUCCGAGGCAUAUGAACCAACCCCACCUCAAUCAUUCACCAACUUUUACUGUAAUUUACUAAUUUUGAGUCACGCUUUACCCUUCAAUAAACUUUCCACUCUCAUCGUCCUUCUACUCGUACACCUAAUUCUUUACUGUCACACUUUAAUUUAAACAUGGAAGUAAAUAUCAUACUUUUUUUGAGUGGCCGACUGACUAGGAUCCUACUACCCUCCUCAUUUCUCAAGCCUUUGUUUUACACUUCUACAGUGAUGGCAGUCCGGAAAGUGUACGGAAGCCUAGACUCUCCGGCCACCUUGAAGGUCCUUGCAUGUCUCUUCGAGCACCACCUGGACUUCGAGUUCGUCCCCGUCGAUAUCAGCGCCAGUGACAACAGAAAGAAACCCUUUCUCAACAUGAGUGUAAAGCUUCAUGGCUUUUUAGUUUUUACAGUAAAAAUCACUGGAUUUGCGUUUUCUUUUCCUUUCAUUUCUUGAGAAUUAAAUUUUGUGCUUUGUGUUGAAUAGCCCUUUGGUCAAGUUCCCGUGUUUGAAGACGGAGGCUAUACACAAUUCGGUAAGCCGCGUUGAAUUUGCAUUUCUAAGCAGAAAAUUUAUGGUGAUAUUAACAGAAAAAAGGGAAAUGUGAGCGCAGAAUCAAGGGCAAUUGUAAGAUCAAUGGGGCAUCAAUAUGGGAAGAAAGGAGAAGAGCUCGUCUUUUGGAAUUCUCAGAAGCAAGCCGUUGUGUCCAACUGGAUUGACGUCGAGGACCACAAGUUCGAGCCGCCGGCGCUGGAGCUCAUUUCCGAGCUGCUAACCAAGCCCGGGAAUGGCUUGGCUCCUGACUUAGCAGUGGUGGCCAAAGCUGAAGCCCAGCUAGCUAAAGUCCUGGACGUGUACGAGGCUCGGCUGGCUGAGUUCAAGUACUUGGCGGCUGACAACUACACCAUUGCCGAUGUACUUCACCUUCCCAACUUGCAGGCCCUCAUGGAAACUCCGGCGAAGAAGCUUAUAGAAUCACGCGCUCGUGUCAGCGCGUGGUGCUCCGAUAUCUUGGCUCGACCUGCUUGGGCCAAGGUGGUGGAGAUGAAGCUCAAGGCUCAUGCUUAGCCGCUAUGUUUUUUUUUUUUUUUUUUUUUUUUUGGGGGUCUCUCAUAAUAAAUGGACUUUAUUAAAAUUUUCCUGUUGCAUUUUAUUUUUAUUUUUUUGGGAUGGUCUGAUGAGGCUUCUGUUCCAAGGGUGGUAACCAUAAUCACAAUGGGGAUCCUAAAAAUUAAACAAAAAGAUUUCUUGUAAAAAAGAAAAAUCAAUAAAAUUUUAUUAAAAAUCGAAAUAAUUUCAAUAUUUUUUAAUCAAAAUAUUCAAAAAAAAAAUUCUUAAAAAAGCUAAGAAACUUUUGUAUAUAACUGGUUUUAUGUAAUAUUUUUGAGGAAAGAGACGUUAAGAAAUGUUAAACACAUCCAUCAUUUAUUUAUUUAUUUAUUUUUACAUCCAUUUUAUUAAAAAAUAAAAAGAUAAACUCUUCAUUGUCCCUCCUCAACUUGGAGCUCUAGCUUCUCGACCAUAUUUCAAUAACAAAACUGUCACACUAGUCUUCCAUUUAUGUCAUAUAAAGUGGUAAGGUAGCAGUCUGCAAUCACGAAUGGGCGGAGCCCUAGGGAUAGAGCAGAAUCCAUAGCAUGAUUUCUGAAAGUCACAUGCAGAUAACAAUAUAAAAGUAAGUGUCUGCCUCAGUGGCUGGGAUUUUGUGACUAUCAAAACAGGUGCUUGGAUUUUGUGAAUCAUAAAUAUAAAAUGUGGGGGAUGCCACCCACAUUGGAAAAUGACAACCCUCGACCCUCGUGGUCUUGAUUUUUGGAUAUAAAUACAGAAUAUUAUAUAUUUAACUGAGCAAGAAGAAGGAGAACAGAUGUAUUUGUUCAGGUUGCCUGCCCUUCAAACUAGCUACCCCAUGCCAUCAGGGCAUAUCUAUGCAAAGAGAGGACGGUUAGCUGCAACCCUAAGAUUACUACCAGUCCAUAUGCCUGUUUUAUAUUCAUAUAUAGAAUUGCCAAACUCCCCAUAACAAAUAGUAUAGAGAACUGGCCAGUAAAAGACAAUAAUGGAGAAGCCUUAUGGUAAAGUUUGAUCCAUCUUCAGCUGUAGAUAUCCCUUUGUGUUCUUUUUAUGGUUUUGACUUUGAUCACCAGUAAAGGUUUUUUUUAAUAACAUUUUAAAAAUUAAUAAAUUAUGAUGGAGCUUAUGGUUAAUUUUAUUUGCUGUGGAACCCAUUGAACGUCUAUAAGAAAGGUCAUUUUCCAACUCAUCCUGUCUGAUGCGAGGCAGUCAUGGCUGUUCGGAAACUGUAUGGAGCCCUUGAUUCCCCUUCCACCAUGCGAGCCCUGGCUUCUCUUUUCGAGCACGACGUCGAGUUUGAGCUCAUUCCCGUCGACUUCCAGGCCGGAGAGCUCAAAAAGAUGCCUUCCCUCUCCGUAAGUGUAUAAACUCCCCUAACUCCUCAUCACUUUCUUCUUUCUGACCAAGCAUCAAAUUGGAAUCACAAUUCUCUCUUUCUAACAAUUGUUUUAUGCUCCUUUCCUUGAUCGGCAACAGCCCUUUGGCGAGCUUCCGGUCUUUCAAGAGGGGGACUUGACUCUUUUCGGUAAUGCUUUUUACACAUUAUCCUCUCCGGCAUGGUUGCCUGGAACAAAGAGUGAAAAUCUUGACAACAGGACUGUGUUUUCUUUCAGAGUCGAGGACGAUCAUGAGGUACAUAUCGCAUGAGUAUGGGAAGCGUGGGGAAGAGCAGGUUUACGAGAUACCGAAGCUGCAAGGAAUAGCGGCGGCAUGGAUAGAUGUUGAGGACCACCAGUUCGAUCCUCCAGCUUCAAAGCUGAUAUGGGAGCUGGUUUUCAAGCCCCAGAAGGGUCUGCCGACGGAUGAAGGUGUGGUGGAAGAAGAAGAGGCGAAGCUAGUGAAGGUGUUGGAUGUGUACGAAGAGAGGCUCAGCAAUUCCGUCUUCUUGGGAGGAGAUAAGUUCACUUCAGCUGAUCUGACUCACAUCCCAUCCUUGUACUUGUUGAUGAAGACUCCGGUGAAGCGGCUGUUCGAGGAGCGGCCUCGUGUGAGGGCUUGGUACAGGGGCGUCAUGUCCAGGCCAGGCUGGGAAAAGAUGGUGGAGAUGGUUGAGAAAGUUCGAGCUUAGGGAGCUUUUGAAACAAUUACCUGAGAUUCUUCUUCUUCUUCUAGCAUUGCUUGAUCCAUUCUCAUCGGAUUCUCCCAGCUUUUGGACUGGUAUGAUUGUUUGUAUUAUUGUGCUCCAGGGACAGUACUGAACUUUUCUGCUUUAUAAGUCCAUUUAAUUUAAAGGUACAAUUAUGCUUUUCAAUUUGAUAAUUAAGGUAACCAAAUCCAACCAUACUAUGAUAAAGAUACGAGACAGUAAUUGAUAAAAAUACCAACUUGACUCAUUUUUAUUUUUAUUAUAUUAUUUAUCAUUAUUCUUUCUUAUUUAAUAAAUUUUAGAUUUUUCAUUAUUUUUUUAAACUCUUUUAUAAAUAAUUGAAAAAUUAAUAUUAUUUAUGAAAUAUUAUAGAUUAUGAGUCAUUCAUUUAUUUUUCUUAUCACUCACGAAUUAUGCAUAUAUGUCAUACAUUUUAUUAUGAAAAUUUCAAUACUUUAUCCAAUAAUGAUAUUUGAGGAAAAUUUUUUUGACCAUAAGUCAUCCACCAUUUUCUUAAUUAAACCAUUAGAAAUAUGGUUAAAUACUCCUACAUGGACACAUAACUUAAGAGAGAUAUGAAAUUUGUGUCAUUAUACAAGGAUAUUACACUAACUAUACAAGGGAAUUAUACUAAUUGUACAAAUGUGUACAAAAUUACCAUUUGUGAAUUAUUUUAAUUAAUUCUAAACCACUUGUAAACAUUUAUACAAAGAUAGAUAUCAUGUUUUGCCCCUUCAAACCUUCAUCUAUGGGUUGCAAAGUAGAAUUAUCCUUCCUCACUUUAAUCGUAGCUCUUCUUUCAUAACUAAGACCAUACCUCCCAUUUGAGAGAGGGACUUCCUUCUUCUAGAAGUAGCAAAAGAGGCUGACAGAAACAAAUAGCAUAGAGGGCAACAAGCAGUUCAUCUGCCAUCCUGAGCAAAACUAGCUGAGGACUAACUUGAAUUGCAGAGAUUGAACUGAAAGAUAAAUCUGUCAAGCUGUAAAUGAUACCAUGAAUGAUGAAUUUUCCAUGAAAGUUUUUGAGAAAGAAAAUUUCUUUCACAUUUCCUGGAAAGUUGCAGGCUGCUUCAACUUUUACUUCCCUGCAUGAUCAUCUGCCAUGGACUUGACUCAAGAGUGAGUCUCCCCAUGGUCCACAGAGGAUUAAUUAAUGGUGUGUCUCAACCAUGGAAUUUUAGUGUGCAUCUCCUAGAAACUACUGCAGAUUCCCAACCGUGCAGAUAUGGAUCCAAAGGGGCUCUCACGGCUUUAAAACAUGUUUAUGGGGUUAAAAGGAGUUCAUACUUAUAUAACGUCGAGAACUUUCCCCUAUAUGGGAUAUCACAAAUACGCCUCAUGCAAACACAAUAUUAUCGUUGUGUCUCAUGGAAUUACGGGACCAAACAAACGAACACCCACUACUAGAUCAAACAAAUUCUCAUACCGAAUUUAGGAAUCGAUUUUGAUACCAUUUAUAACGAUCAACUUCUAAUCGUGUAGAUAUUGUCCUUUUUAAAUCCAAAGAAAUCUUGCGGCUUUAAAAUACGUCUAUAAAAUUAAAAGGAGUUUAUAUUUAUAUAAUGUCAGAAACUUUUUUUCUUAUCCUUGAUAGGAUGUCACAACUAGAAUGAUUCUAAUUCUACAUUAUUAUAAUAAAAGAAAAAUUAACAUAUUCAUGGUUGAAGUUUUGGGGUAUGCAUGCAAAAUCAAGGGCCAUCACACAAUACACUGCCCACGAGUACGCGUCAAAGGGGACCCAACUGAUAUUCCCAUAUCCAACAGAAAUGGCUAUCAUGUCAGUAUGGAUGGAGGUGGAGGCGCACCAGUUCGACCCUCUUGCGUCCAAGCUGCAUGACGAGCUGGCUGUGUAGCCCACCCACACCUCGACCAUUGACAAAGCUGCAGUGGAGGAGCUAGAAACCAAAUUGGCCAAGGUUUUGGAUGUGUACAAGGGUCGUUUGGCCGACCAGGUUAUUCAAGAUGUUUUUAAUUUUGAAAAAAAAUCUUAUUAUAUAUACAUUUUCUUAUUAAAACAAAAUGUGUAAGUCCACCGUCUCCACAACUUUAUUGGUAUCAUGUGGGGCAUAAGUCUAAAAAUCUCUGGGAAAGAUUUGGACAUUUGCAAUACAUGUGUCCCUCUCUUUUUUUGUCUUUUCCGCUUUGUUUUUUGCCCUUCACAUCUUCUAAUUACAAGCCUAGUUGGAGAAAUACUUAAAUGAAAUAUUUUUUUACUCCAUGAUUUAAAGGUGUUUGGUUUUUUUUUGCUUUUCAUUUAAAACAAUUUGCUUUCAAACUUUAAAUUAUUUAUUUUUCUACUUUUUCAUAAUUUAUUAUAAACUUUUUAUUAAAUAAAAAAAGCAACAUAUUGAUUUAUUUUUUACUUUUUAAUACUUAAUAGAAAUAAAAUAUUUAAAAAACAAACAACUUAAUAUUUAAUAUUAUUAAAAAUUAAAAUUUUAUUUAGAAUUAAAUAAAAAAACAAACAUCAUUUUAAACUUAAUUAGUAACUGUUUUAGAAAAUAAUUUUUUAGAAUAGUUUUAAAAAACAUGCUUUUCUAUUUUUUUUUUUGAAGAAUAAAAAAUUAUUUUUAAAAACAAUUAUGAAAAAGGCCUUUAGAUUUUACUCAUUCAUAUCUUAUUUUACUAAAUUUUAUUACUUCAAAAAAGAUAGUUUUUUUUGUUUUAGAGGACAAAAAAUUGUUCUCAAAAUCAAAUACCAAACAUACCCUUAGAUUUUACUAAUUCUUCCCUUAUCUCACUAAAUUUUCUCAUUACAAAAAGGAAGGGAUAAAUUAAUUAGAAUUUUUGUUAAAUUCAUAUAUAAGCCUUGUAAAGUAACUAAAAUUUUUGCUAAAUUCAAAUAAAAGCAUAAAUAUCAACAAAAGUUAAGGAUACAACUUAUCCGAAAAUACAAAAAUAUUGGUUGUUACAUUUUAUCUAAAUAAAAAAUAUAUAUAGAAUGAAAUUCUAAAAAAAAAAAAAAGAAAUUUAUCAAAACUCAUAUAAAAUGUUGAAAAAAAUUCAAUAAAUAAUAAAUUAAGUAGUAGUACAUACACUAAUGCGGUUUUAAAAAACAAUAUUUAUAUAGUAAAAAAUUUGUAAUAUUGAAUAAUAAUAUGAAUAAUUAAAAACAUGUUUUUAUAUAGGGAUAACUGAUCAAAAGGGACAAAAAUCCCUUAAUAUUGUAAAACUAACCCCCCACUUUUAAUAGCCUCCAAAAUGACCCAAUUCGAAUAAAAAUGCCCCUUAGCUACAUGAACUCCUUUUUCCCUCCCAUUCUAAUUUUAUUUCCCUUCAUUCACCUCUUUUUUAUUCUUUCUUCCAUUUUCUCCUUUUUUUUCAUUUUCUCCUGUUAUUCCGUUUCCUUUUUUUUAAUGCAUUUCUUCAAGUCUCACACAGUUUCUCUUCAGAUUUCUUCAACUUAAAGCGCUUUAAGUUGUGGUUGGAUAAACAAUGUACGCUUAUUUUUAUUUUUCUAUAUUUUUUUCUUUCAUGUUUUAUUUAUUGAAUAUUUUCAAACAUUUAAUGAGAUGUAGUAAAUAUUUAAAUAAGUUUAAAAUUGUUAUAAUUUUUUUAAUAUCAUUUACAACCAUGAAAAAAUGGAUUAAAAUAAGGAAGCAAUUAGCUUAAAAAGUGUAGUGUGGAGAAACAUUGUCCAUAUGGAAAAAUCAAAUGAUGGUAAGUAAUAAAACUUAUGGAAUUUUAUGAUGGUUUUGGUAUUGUUUGCAUAUUUGUUCUUUAUAUAGAUGUAAAUAUAUGUGUUAAUAGGGUUUUGAUAUAAUAUAUAAAAUUAUCUUUUUUAGUUAUAUAUCAAAACCUUACGGAUAUUAAGUUGAACUUGACGUAAGUUAAGAUUGUAUAUAGUUAUUUUAUAGUAAUAUUAUAUUAUUGUUAUUUUAUUUAAUUAUACUCAAUUUGAGUUGAAUCAUUUGCAAAUUACCCUUGACAUUAAAUGAAUUACAACAUAACCAAUCUUUUAGUAAUAAAUAUAUUUUUAUUGUUUAAAAUAGUUUAGAGUUACAAUGUCUGAAUUUAUUUAAUAACUAUAUACAUUGUAUUUCUAUAGCAUUAUUGGUAUUAUUUGAAGUAAUAAAGAUGAUUAAUAAUGUUAUUUAUUUGUUGUUUAUUAAAAAAAUAAAUAUGUGUAAUGAAAUAAUAUGUAUUUAAUAAUGAAUGAGUUUUUUAAAAUUAAUACCUACUUAUUGGUGCUAAUGCUAUGAGGUAACUAAAAAAUAUUCUAAUAUUGUUUGUUGAUGCCACUAAUUGAAUUAUUUUGUUAUUUUAGUGGUUGUUGAAGUAGGAAUAAUGCUUUUAUAUGAAGGAGAAUGGGUAUGAGAUGGAAAUGUUUCUAUUUCGAAGGAAGUCAAGGUAAAGGCAUUGAGAUCCCGAAAACUAUAUCAUAUAAAGAGUUAUUAGAGGUUGUUCAUCAUAUUCUGAAGCUAGAUCCAACAAAUUGUUUUCUUUCAAUGAAGUGUGUAUUCAAUGCCAACAUACCCACAAGUCCUAUACAACUAACUGAUGAUGGGGAUGUGAAAUUCUUUAUUAGUUUAAAUUGUACAAAUGGUAAGCUGCCUGUUCCAUUGUGCAUCACAGUUGAAAAGAGAAUUGAUAAUCACAAUCAGAAAUCAAUUUGCAAUUCUUAUUUCGAAUGUCAUAUGUCUUCUGAGAUUGAUAAAGAAUUGAAUGGGGACUCAAUGUUGAUGCAUAAAAGUAGACACAUUCAUUGUGAUUUAGUUGAAACUCUUACUGUUGAUGGUGAAAAUGGACCAAGAUUUCAAAAUGAGUCACUUGAAGGGUAUAAAGUUCAUGAUUGGAACAUGAACGAGACUACAAUUAAUGAGGAGGAUUAUAGGAUGAAUACUAACCCUACUAAUGAUAAGCAAGUGACCCAAAUUGGCUCAUUCAGAACUGUUUCAGCUCAGAGUGCAGAAAUCUUGACCAUGAUUGAUACAAAUGAUGGUUUCAUACAUGACAAUCCCACUAUAAUCGAAGAUGUAGCAAAUGAAAGACAAAACAUGAUGCAACAACCUAUAGUUAGUGGAAUUAGUGAUGACCAUCUAGAAGAGCACCAAAUAUACUCAAGUAAGAAAGAAUUACAAAGGAAGUUGUAUAUGAUGGCUCUGAAAAGGAAGUUUGAGUUCAAAACAACUAAAUCCACUACUAAGUUGUUGCUUGUUGAAUGUUUUGAUAAAGAAUGCAAGUGGCGAGUUCGUGUUACCAAGUUAGGGGUUUCCAAUAUGUUUCAAAUAAUGAAAUUCUAUUCAACACACACUUGUCGGUUAGAUAUGAUGUCUCGUGACAAUCGACAUGCAAGUAGUUGGUUGAUUGGUGAGAGUACAUAAGUUGUUCCAUGAUGCUGCCCAUGCUUAUCGUGUUUCAGAGUUUAAUUUUAUAUUUGGGCAACUAGAGAUGAUUGACCCAAGAGCAGUAAGAUAUUUGAUGGAUAUAGGAGUUGAUCAAUGGGCAUGUUCAUAUUCUACCGGAAAAAGAUAUAAUAUCAUGACGACAGGGAUCGUUCAAAGCCUUAAUACUGUGUUGAAAAAUGCUAGAGAUCUUCUGGUUUUGUAAUUGGUUGAAGAAUUGAGAAACUUACUUCAAAAAUGGUUUGUGACUCAUCAACAACAAGCAAUGUCAAUAUCAACUGAACUUACCAUGUGGGCUGAUGGAGAACUUCAUUCGAGGUAUAAUAUGUCAGCAACAUAUCUAGUGGAAGCUAUCAACUCCAAGAAGUGUAAUGUUAACUAUGUCGGCAUUAGUGCUCAAGUGAAUUUAGACACUUGUUCAUGCACAUGUCGACAAUUUGAUCUUAAUCAUAUUCCAUGUGCACAUGUUAUUACUGCUUGUAGAUUUUACAACAUUUCAUGUUACCCUUUGUGCUCCAAGUAUUUUACUACUAAAACAUUGUUAUCUUCAUAUUCAGAGUGUAUUUAUCCAACUGGAAAUGAAAUAGAUUGGGUGGUACCUAAUCAUAUUCAUGACAAAGUUGUGUUACCACCUAAAAUGAGACACCCAAUAGGAAGACCAAGGAAAGUAAGAAUGCCUUUUGGUGGAGAGGGCAAACGCACAUCUCGUUGUAGUCAAUGUGGUCAAUAUGGGCAUAAUCGGAAAACAUGCAAACGACCAAUCCCUUGAUAUCAUGAUAGCUUUGGCACUCUAUGAACUUACAUGGAAUGAAAAUUGUAAUAGUGAGUUUUUUUGUUUUUUUGGUACCCAUGUGAACGGAAAUGUAAGUUACUUUUUUUGUAUAAGGUGAUAGGAUAAGCACAUAGAUGAAUAUUGUAAUAAUGAUCCUUUUUUUUUGCAUACCCAUAGAAAUGGAGAUAUUUGUUACUUUUGUACAUAUAUGUUAUGAUGAGUUAUGUAUAAAGUAUGAAUGAAAAUUGCAUGUUUAUUCUCAAACUAUGGACUCAACUGUUCUCACGUUUAUUGAUAAGGAACUUGACAAUAAUUAAGUUCAGGUUUUGUUUGAGGACUGUAGACUUAACUACCUUCAAGUUUGUACAUAAAACAAUUUGACAAUGGUUAAGUUCAGGUUUUGUCUAAAGACUAUUGACUUAAUUGCCUUCAAGUUGAUACAUAAAACAACUUAACAGUAGUUAAGUUCAGGUUUUGUCUAAAGACUAUGGACUUAAAUACCUUCAAGUUUAUAUAUAAAAUAACUUGACAAUAAUUAAGUUCAGGUUUUGUUUAAAGACUGUGAACUUAACUACCUUCAAGUUUGUACAUAAAACAACUUGACAAUAGUUAAGUUCAAGUUUUGCCUAAAGACUGUGGACUUAACUACCUUCAAGUUUGCACACAUAACAACUUGACAACAAUCAAGUUUAGUUUAAAAGGUCAAUUGUAUACAUAACUAUUGAACAACAUUCAUCAAAAUAUCCAAGUAUAUAUAUCAAGUUGUCCAACUACAUUUAUCAAAAUGUCUAACUACAUAUAUGACGCUAUCCAAUUACAUAUAACAAACCAUCCAACUACAUUAUUAAAAUGUGAAAUAUCAACAUGAAUUCAUUACAUAGGCAAGUAUUUCAUAUAAAAUAACUCUGCUGCCAUCUUUUCCGAAAACCAGUCCAUUCGAGCACUUGUUAAUGACUUCAAUGGAUGGUUGUGCAUUAAGUAUUCAACAUAUUUGAUAACAAACAUGCCACAAUCACCACUGCAUGGUACACAGAUAAUCAAUGUUAGGACUAUUAUUAAAGAUUAAGUGUAUAAGAUAUGAAAGUAAAUUUAAGAUCACUUACUCAUUUUCCUAUUGAGGAAUAUCUUGCAGUCGUUCAAUUUCCCAUUCUUGGUAGUUAACUUUUGUGUUACCAUGAAACCCAUAAUAUGCUAUUGCAUUUAAUAUAUGCGACAACAAUUUGGCUAAUGGUUUAAUGGCAACUUGCAAUCUUGCAUUAUUAUUGAUGCCCAUCAAUGAGUCAUAUACAUAUAUAAUCCUUCGAUGAAGGUGGACAACUCCUAAUACCCAAUGACUAGCUCGAACAUUGAUGGGGACAUACACAAUGUCAACAUCAUGCCAUUUGACAUAAUAAAAAGGUUGCAAACCAUUGGCAUAAUCAAUAAGAAUGUCAUUCUCUGGUAAUUUGAAUUGGUUCCAUUUCUUGCCAUGCUUAAUCCAUCUUGCUUGAGCAUUUUGCUACAUAGAAUAAAGUUAACAUACAUAAAUAAAUAACCAAGAUCAUAAAAUUCAUUAUUACAAAAAAUUAAAAAUGAUAACUAAAAUUCAAACUACACAUACCCAAAACAUAG
rnacentral:lncRNA from 1 species